AUUGAACGCUGGCGGAAUGCUUUACACAUGCAAGUCGAACGGCAGCACGGACUUCGGUCUGGUGGCGAGUGGCGAACGGGUGAGUAACAUAUCGGAACGUAUCCAAUAAUGGGGGAUAACGAGUCGGAAGAUUCGCUAAUACCGCAUACGCCCUACGGGGGAAAGCUGGGGACCUUCGGGCCUGGCGUUAAUGGAGCGGCCGAUAUCUGAUUAGCUAGUUGGUGAGGUAAAGGCUCACCAAGGCGACGAUCAGUAGCUGGUCUGAGAGGGCGACCAGCCACACUGGAACUGAGACACGGUACAGACUCCUACGGGAGGCAGCAGUGGGGAAUUUUGGACAAUGGGCGCAAGCCUGAUCCAGCCAUUCCGCGUGAGUGAAGAAGGCCUUCGGGUUGUAAAGCUCUUUCGCAAGGGAAGAAAACUUAGCCACUAACAUUGGUUGAGGUUGACGGUACCUUGAUAAGAAGCACCGGCUAACUACGUGCCAGCCGCCGCAGUAA
rnacentral:rRNA from 1 species